GAUGAACGCUGGCGGCGUGCCUAAUACAUGCAAGUCGAGCGAACAGAUGAGGAGCUUGCUCCUCUGACGUUAGCGGCGGACGGGUGAGUAACACGUGGAUAACCUACCUAUAAGACUGGGAUAACUUCGGGAAACCGGAGCUAAUACCGGAUAAUAUAUUGAACCGCAUGGUUCAAUAGUGAAAGACGGUUUUGCUGUCACUUAUAGAUGGAUCCGCGCCGCAUUAGCUAGUUGGUAAGGUAACGGCUUACCAAGGCAACGAUGCGUAGCCGACCUGAGAGGGUGAUCGGCCACACUGGAACUGAGACACGGUCCAGACUCCUACGGGAGGCAGCAGUAGGGAAUCUUCCGCAAUGGGCGAAAGCCUGACGGAGCAACGCCGCGUGAGUGAUGAAGGUCUUCGGAUCGUAAAACUCUGUUAUUAGGGAAGAACAAAUGUGUAAGUAACUAUGCACGUCUUGACGGUACCUAAUCAGAAAGCCCGGCUAACUACGUG
rnacentral:rRNA from 1 species